rnacentral:rRNA from 1 species
AUACGUAGGGGACAAGCGUUGUCCGGAAUGACUGGGCGUAAAGGGCGCGUAGGCGGUCUAUUAAGUCUGAUGUGAAAGGUACCGGCUCAACCGGUGAAGUGCAUUGGAAACUGGUAGACUUGAGUAUUGGAGAGGCAAGUGGAAUUCCUAGUGUAGCGGUGAAAUGCGUAGAUAUUAGGAGGAACACCAGUGGCGAAGGCGGCUUGCUGGACAAAUACUGACGCUGAGGUGCGAAAGCGUGGGGAGCGAACAGGAUUAGAUCCCCUGGUAGUCCACGCCGUAAACGAUGAAUGCUAGGUGUUGGGGAAACUCAGUGCCGCAGUUAACACAAUAAGCAUUCCGCCUGGGGAGUACGACCGCAAGGUUGAAACUCAAAGGAAUUGACGG